GACAUAAUAACUGCAAUAUAAACAGGGUCUCCAACUCCACCCUGGGUGGCACAGUGUCUACUGGUUGUAGUUGUUCUGAUCAGGUUGAUUUAUACCUGACAACUAAAGCCCAGCAGCCUGACAAUAUAAACAGGGGUCUCCAACUCAACUCCUGGGUGGCAUCAGUGUCUACUGGUUGUAGUUGUUCUGAUCAGUGUCUGAUUCUAUACCUGACAACUAAAGCCAGCAGACUGACAAUAAAACAGGGGUCGCCAACUCAACUCCUGGGUUGGAUCAUGUCUACUGGUUGUUAGUUGUUCUGAUCAGUGGUCUGAUUUAUACCUGACAACUAAGCCGUGCAACUAAAUCCCUCGAGGACUGGAGUUGAUUACAAUUCUGAUAUGAAAACCACAUUUUUCCCCCAGUUAUGUGCUUUUGGGGCUCUUCUGGGCCCCCAUUGUGCUAGGUAGGCUGGUUGCAUUGCUUGAGGCAGACAUUUCUCCCAGGAGCUAUAGGGGAGGGAGGGAUCGGACACGGAUUCCCCCUAUGAUGAGGAUGGCCCCAGCGAAGCCCACCAGGUCACGGACCAGGAGAGCUCAUGGUGGAGCGGUAUGGAGUGGUCAGAUGACACACGGCCACACUGACUGGUGAAACAACCGUAUAGACAGCAGGACCAGUAGACCUGUGGGCGAGAGGGAGGGAGGAAGGAAGUGGGGAUGGGGGGAAUGGAUGUAGAGGGAGGGAAGUGUGGAGAAGGAGUAGAAGGUGAGACCGAGAGUAGGUAUGAGGGGAGAGAGAGCUAUACAAAUUGAUGGAACGUGGUGUUGUUGAGGAAAAGCAUACAAUGUUAUAAAAUCCAUGUACACAAACAGUAUGAGGCAGAAAACAAAAUUCUUUCCACAGGGCCGUGGGUGUAGACGGGAUGCAGCUUAACCCCACCUCUUCAACAUAACAUAUAUAUAUAUUUUUUUUUGUUGCAAGUUUUCCAACUUAAAAAGCAUUAGAGGUCUGUACUUUUUUAUCAUAGGUACACUUCAACUGUGAGAGACGGAAUCACAAAAAAAAUCC
rnacentral:lncRNA from 1 species